rnacentral:rRNA from 1 species
GCCAGACUCCUACGGGAGGCAGCAGUGGGGGAUAUUGCACAAUGGGGGGAACCCUGAUGCAGCGACGCCGCGUGGGUGAAGAAGCGCCUCGGCGCGUAAAGCCCUGUCAGCAGGGAAGAAAAUGACGGUACCUGAAGAAGAAGCCCCGGCUAACUACGUGCCAGCAGCCGCGGUAAUACGUAGGGGGCAAGCGUUAUCCGGAUUCACUGGGUGUAAAGGGAGCGUAGACGGCGACGCAAGUCUGGAGUGAAAGCCCGGGGCCCAACCCCGGGACUGCUCUGGAAACUGCGGCGCUGGAGUACGGGAGGGGCAGGCGGAAUUCCUGGUGUAGCGGUGAAAUGCGUAGAUAUCAGGAGGAACACCGGCGGCGAAGGCGGCCUGCUGGACUGUAACUGACGUUGAGGCUCGAAAGCGUGGGGAGCAAACAGGAUUAGAUACCCCCGUAA